rnacentral:rRNA from 1 species
UACGUAGGGGACAAGCGUUGUCCGGAUUUACUGGGCGUAAAGAGCGCGCAGGCGGUCGUUCAAGUCGAGUGUGAAAGCCCCCGGCUCAACUGGGGAGGGGCAUUCGAUACUGAUCGACUCGAAGGCAGGAGAGGGUAGUGGAAUUCCCGGUGUAGUGGUGAAAUGCGUAGAUAUCGGGAGGAACACCAGUGGCGAAGGCGACUACCUGGCCUGUUCUUGACGCUGAGGCGCGAAAGCUAGGGUAGCAAACGGG